rnacentral:lncRNA from 1 species
CAUAUUUAGACAAAAUACAAAUUACAUUGUCCCAUUAACAUUAUAACAAACAUGCAUCUUUGUGCAUUCAAAAGUAAAUGUAAUCAUAAUUCUUGAAGCCACUUCCAUAAUAGAAAACUGUAGAAGAACAUCCUUGCAUCUUCUAACUCUCAAAAUCUACAAACACAAAAUUGAAACAUUAGCAAUCGUUAAUGAUUGAACAUGAAUAAUUAUUAGAAUUAUUAAUAGAAUAUCUAAAUGACCGAAGUCACCGAACCAUCCAACCGGAAAAAAAAAAAAUACAGAAGCUCAUCUCAGCCUCUCAGGGGAGAAGAAACCAAGAGGCGAGAGGAGAAAAUCAAUCUUUCUUCCUGAUGGCCCAGCUGGAACCGGAGCAAUGUGAGGGAAGGAAAACGAAGACCAAACCAAAAUCAAGCCAAGCAAAUCCCUCCUCCUUCUUUCUCUCCGGUCUCCACCCAAAACAAAACUAUUGUCCCCAACUUCCCAAAAUCGAGCUCUCUCACUCCCCCCCCCACCCUCUCUCUCUCUCUCUUCCAUCCGGGAUCGAGCUCGAAGAGGAGAAGGAGGAGAAAAAUCUUAUCGGUGAUUGUGAGUCGGUGACCGGAGCCGCAGAGGUUGCCGUCCGGGGGAGAAGGAUGCGAAGAGCCGCCGGUCGGUCGUUGAAGAGGCGACGACCCCGAGAGGCGGCGGCGGCUACAGGGAAACUGGCGUAUAGGGAGCGGCUAUCAGGCUCUCAGCGAGGAAGGA